rnacentral:rRNA from 1 species
AGUUUGAUCAUGGCUCAGGAUGAACGCCGGCGGUGUGCCUAAUACAUGCAAGUCGAACGCGUUGGCCCGACUGAUUGAUGAUGCUUGCAUCUGAUUGACGACGGUUUACCAACGAGUGGCGGACGGGUGAGUAACACGUAGGCAACCUGCCCAGAAGCGGGGGACAACAUUUGGAAACAAGUGCUAAUACCGCAUAACAACGAAAACCACAUGAUUUUCGUUUAAAAGAUGGUUUCGGCUAUCACUUCUGGAUGGGCCUGCGGCGCAUUAGCUUGUUGGUGAGGUAACGGCUCACCAAGGCUGUGAUGCGUAGCCGAGUUGAGAGACUGAUCGGCCACAAUGGAACUGAGACACGGUCCAUACUCCUACGGGAGGCAGCAGUAGGGAAUCUUCCACAAUGGGCGCAAGCCUGAUGGAGCAACACCGCGUGAGUGAAGAAGGGUUUCGGCUCGUAAAACUCUGUUGUUGAAGAAGAACGUGCGUGAGAGUAACUGUUCACGCAGUGACGGUAUUCAACCAGAAAGUCACGGCUAACUACGUGCCAGCAGCCGCGGUAAUACGUAGGUGGCAAGCGUUAUCCGGAUUUAUUGGGCGUAAAGCGAGCGCAGGCGGUUUUCUAAGUCUGAUGUGAAAGCCUUCGGCUUAACCGGAGAAGUGCAUCGGAAACUGGAUAACUUGAGUGCAAGAGAGGACAGUGGAACUCCAUGUGUAGCGGUGGAAUGCGUAGAUAUAUGGAAGAACACCAGUGGCGAAGGCGGCUGUCUAGCUUGCAACUGACGCUGAGGCUCGAAAGCAUGGGUAGCGAACAGGAUUAGAUACCCUGGUAGUCC